UAAGUUGCAGGGUAUAGACCCGAAACCCGGUGAUCUAGCCAUGGGCAGGUUGAAGGUUGGGUAACACUAACUGGAGGACCGAACCGACUAAUGUUGAAAAAUUAGCGGAUGACCUGUGGCUGGGGGUGAAAGGCCAAUCAAACCGGGAGAUAGCUGGUUCUCCCCGAAAGCUAUUUAGGUAGCGCCUCGUGAAUUCAUCUCCGGGGGUAGAGCACUGUUUCGGCUAGGGGGCCAUCCCGGCUUACCAACCCGAUGCAAACUGCGAAUACCGGAGAAUGUUAUCACGGGAGACACACGGCGGGUGCUAACGUCCGUCGUGAAGAGGGAAACAACCCAGACCGCCAGCUAAGGUCCCAAAGUCAUGGUUAAGUGGGAAACGAUGUGGGAAGGCCCAGACAGCCAGGAUGUUGGCUUAGAAGCAGCCAUCAUUUAAAGAAAGCGUAAUAGCUCACUGGUCGAGUCGGCCUGCGCGGAAGAUGUAACGGGGCUAAACCAUGCACCGAAGCUGCGGCAGCGAACGUAUCACCCAAGACAACUUUACGGAGUUGACGAUUGACGGAGCGAAGCGACGUCAAAGCGUUCAUUAAAGUCGAGUUGGC
rnacentral:rRNA from 1 species